rnacentral:rRNA from 1 species
AGAGCGAACGCUGGCGGCAGGCUUAACACAUGCAAGUCGAACGGACCCUUCGGGGUUAGUGGCGGACGGGUGAGUAACACGUGGGAACGUGCCCUUUGGUUCGGAACAACACAGGGAAACUUGUGCUAAUACCGGAUGUGCCCUUCGGGGGAAAGAUUUAUCGCCAUUGGAGCGGCCCGCGUCUGAUUAGCUAGUUGGUGAGGUAACGGCUCACCAAGGCGACGAUCAGUAGCUGGUCUGAGAGGAUGAUCAGCCUCACUGGGACUGAGACACGGCCCAGACUCCUACGGGAGGCAGCAGUGGGGAAUAUUGGACAAUGGGCGCAAGCCUGAUCCAGCCAUGCCGCGUGGGUGAUGAAGGCCCUAGGGUUGUAAAGGCCCUUUCGGCGGGGAAGAUAAUGACGGUACCGCAGAAGAAGCCCGGCUAACUUCGCGCCAGCAGCCGC